rnacentral:tRNA from 1 species
GUCUGGCUGGCUUAGUAGGUAAAGCAUGUGGUUCUUGAUCUCAGGGUCAUGAGCUCGAGCCCCAUGUUGGGUA